CAGCACCUUCUGCACACCACGGGCGAUGUUGUAGUGCUCGGCGCCAAUGAUGUUGGGGUUGAGCAUGCGGCUGGUGGAGUCCAGGGGGUCCACGGCGGGGUAGAUGCCCAGCUCGGCAAUCGAGCGGGACAGCACGGUGGUGGCGUCCAGAUGCGCGAAGGUGGUUGCGGGGGCGGGAUCCGUCAGGUCAUCGGCGGGCACGUACACAGCCUGUAGGCGCGAUGGGCAGUGGGCGGCGACAGGUGUGCAUAACGGCGCACAUGGGUGGUGGUGGACAGCCAGGAUAGGACAGAGCUCAGGGCAACUGGCCAGCCCUCGCGCUCUUGCCCCGCCCCUGGACCCUGCCUCGCAGACGUGUCGUCCCAACAGCGCAGUCACGUGCCCGCAUCCUGACAGCGGCCGUCACCCUUGCCUCGCCCCCGCCCCAGCUGCGCCGCGCACCUGCACCGAGGUAAUGGAACCCUUGGUGGUGGUGGUAAUGCGCUCCUGCAGGCCACCCAGAUCGGUGGCCAGGGUGGGCUGGUAACCCACGGCCGAGGGGAUGCGGCCCA
rnacentral:lncRNA from 1 species